rnacentral:rRNA from 1 species
AUGAAAAUACUGAGUUGGAACUGCCGGGGGUUAGGGAAACCCCCGGCAGUUAGAGCGCUCCUGGAGCUUCAGGGGCGCGUAAGACCUGAUGUGAUUUUUCUGUCUGAGUCACAUCUGACUGUUGCUAGGGUAGAGAAAAUGAAGAGAAAGUUGUCCUUUGAUGAGAUGAUAAUGUGGGAAAGUGAUGGCAGAAGUGGUGGUUUGGUACUCUUCUGGCAGAAUGGUUUAAACGUGACAUCAAAGGAGGUUCACUCAAAUUUCUUGGAUAUCCGAAUUGACGAAAACACAGUGACUCGGGAUGGCGGAUCACUAGUCUAUACGAAAAACAAGCGGUGA